rnacentral:rRNA from 1 species
GAUGAACGCUGGCGGCGUGCCUAAUACAUGCAAGUCGAGCGAACAGACGAGGAGCUUGCUCCUCUGACGUUAGCGGCGGACGGGUGAGUAACACGUGGAUAACCUACCUAUAAGACUGGGAUAACUUCGGGAAACCGGAGCUAAUACCGGAUAAUAUAUUGAACCGCAUGGUUCAAUAGUGAAAGACGGUUUUGCUGUCACUUAUAGAUGGAUCCGCGCCGCAUUAGUUAGUUGGUAAGGUAACGGCUUACAAAGGCAACGAUGCGUAGCCGACAUGAGAGGGUGAUCGGCCACACUGGAACUGAGACACGGUCCAGACUCCUACGGGAGGCAGCAGUAGGGAAUCUUGAGCAAUGGGCGAAAGCCUGACGGAGCAACGUCGCGUGAGUGAUGAAGGUCUUCGGAUCGUAAAACUCUGUUAUUAGGGAAGAAAAAAUGUGUAAGUAACUAUGCACGUCUUGACGGUACCUAAUCAGAAAGCCACGGCUAACUACGUG